UACGGGGGGGGCAAGCGUUGUUCGGAAUUACUGGGCGUAAAGGGCUCGUAGGCGGCCAACUAAGUCAGACGUGAAAUCCCUCGGCUUAACCGGGGAACGGCCUCUGAUACUGGCUGGCUGGAGUUCGGGAGAGGGAUGCGGAAUUCCAGGUGUAGCGGUGAAAUGCGUAGAUAUUGGGAGGAACACCAGUGGCGAAGGCGGCUCACUGGACCGGAACUGACGCUGAGGCGCGAAAGCGUGGGGAGCAAACAGG
rnacentral:rRNA from 1 species